GAUGAACGCUGGCGGCGUGCCUAAUACAUGCAAGUCGAGCGAAGCGGGGACGGGUGAGUAACACGUGGGUAACCUCCUAUAAGACUGGGAUAACUUCGGGAAACCGGAGCUAAACCGGAUACUUAUAGAUGGAUGCGCGAUGCAUUAGCUAGUUGGUAAGGUAACGGCUUACAAAGGCAACGACGCAUAGCCGACCUGAGAGGGUGACCAGCCACACUGGAACUGGGACACGGUCCAGACUCCUACGGGAGGCAGCAGUGGGGAAUAUUGCACAAUGGGCGCAAGCCUGAUGCAGCCAUGCCGCGUGUAUGAAGAAGGCCUUCGGGUUGUAAAGUACUUUCAGCGGGGAGGCGUUACCCGCAGAAGAAGCACCGGCUAACUCCGUGCCAGCAGCCGCGGUAAUAC
rnacentral:rRNA from 1 species